ensembl:lincRNA Platr4 pluripotency associated transcript 4
GAGAUCGCCAUGAUGGGGAAGAAGGAAGAGGAGACCUAAAGGCCAGCUGACAUCAGGACUUUGGGUCCCUAACCUGCAACUCAGCACUCAGUCCAUCAUGGGCUAUGCUAGUCUCUGUGACUUCUCCAGGGCAGGAAAGUGACAGGUUUCUGUGCAAGGGAGCCCGAGGUGCCUGGUUCAGGAUGGAGAGGGCACUUGAGAGGCGUCAAAAGCAAGCACAGUUAGAGGACAUCAGCGAUGUUAAAACCCCACGAGGGUCAACAGUAGCCCAGGCAAAAUAAAGGAGCCUGAAGUGGAAAAACAGAAAUGGAACAAAGCGUUUGUUCUGGAGCACAUGAGAUUGUCCUCCUAAGACAUUUCCAGAAGUAUUCAAAGGGAGAUUUAAUGGGAAAUCAUUAUGCAAAAGAGUCAGUAAUAUAUUUUAGUUUCAAAAAGUACGGAGCAUGACGCCUGUCAAUUAUACCUUCUGCAAAGGUGAGUGGCGGUUGUCCUUGCUGUUCCAAAAUGCAAAGAGAAACAAACAAACAAACAAACAAGCAAACCAGCUACUCCUAUUCCGCACUCCAAACACCAAGCAGAAAUGCUUCUGGGACAAACUGAGCUUCAUUCUUUAUGAAAAUGAAAACACUUCUUUCUGUGCACUAGGAAAAUGUUCUGCCUCUGAGCUGCAAAACCAGCACCAAACUUGAAAAGUUUGUGCAUCAAAGGAAAAAGGCAACCUACAGGAUGGGGGAGAAUAUUUGCAGGACACAUGUCCUGGAAGGAAUACAUAUUUAGACUGAAUAAAAUGAGUAAGAGGAGGGAUAGGGAGUUCGUGUUCAAUGUUGAGAGCUUGGGACAGUUGAGAAAACGCUCCGGAGUGUUCUGCAGAUGAAUGAUGGUGACGACUGCAUCAGUGUGAAUGUCCUUAACGCCGUCAAAAAUUGGUUAUAAUGGCAAAUUUUAUGCUACAUAUGUUUUACUACAAUAAAAAUGCCAGGAAAAUC